rnacentral:rRNA from 1 species
GAUGAACGCUAGCGGCAGGCUUAAUACAUGCAAGUCGAACGGUAAGGUCUCUUCGGAGAUACACGAGUGGCGCACGGGUGCGUAACGCGUAUGCAACCUACCUUUAACUUGGAAAUAGCCCCGAGAAAUCGGGAUUAAUGUCCCAUAUUAUUCUGAGAAUGCAUAUUCUUAGAAUGAAAGCUCCGGCGGUUAUUGAUGGGCAUGUGUGACAUUAGCUAGUUGGUGAGGUAACGGCUCACCAAGGCUACGAUGUCUAGGGGUCCUGAGAGGGUUAACCCCCACACUGGUACUGAGACACGGACCAGACUCCUACGGGAGGCAGCAGUAAGGAAUAUUGGGCAAUGGACGCAAGUCUGACCCAGCCAUGCCGCGUGAAGGAUGAAUGUCCUAUGGAUUGUAAACUUCUUUUAUGCAGGAAAAAUAUCCCGGUCGAGCACCGGGACUGAUGGUACUGUAUGAAUAAGCAUCGGCUAACUCCGUGCCAGCCGCCGCAGUAAAAC